rnacentral:rRNA from 1 species
AUUGAACGCUGGCGGCAUGCCUUACACAUGCAAGUCGAACGGCAGCAUGGAGAGCUUGCUCUCUGAUGGCGAGUGGCGAACGGGUGAGUAAUGCAUCGGAACGUACCGUGUAAUGGGGGAUAACGUAGCGAAAGUUACGCUAAUACCGCAUACGACCUGAGGGUGAAAGCAGGGGAUCGCAAGACCUUGCGUUAUACGAGCGGCCGACGUCAGAUUAGCUAGUUGGGGAGGUAAAGGCUUACCAAGGCGACGAUCUGUAGCGGGUCUGAGAGGAUGAUCCGCCACACUGGAACUGAGAAACGGCCCAGACUCGUACGGGAGGCAGCAGUGGGGAAUUUUGGACAAUGGGGGCAACCCUGAUCCAGCCAUGCCGCGUGAGUGAAGAAGGCCUUCGGGUUGUAAAGCUCUUUCGGCCGGGAAGAAAUCGCACAGGCUAAUACUCUGUGUGGAUGACGGUACCGGCAUAAGAAGCACCGGCUAACUACGUGCCAGCCGCCGCAGUAA